CGAUGACAGGAGCAGGAUGUCGUCGAGAUAGCAAUUCACUCUUACUGGUAGAGAGCGAAGAUACACAGCGAUGGCUGCCAGCAGCUUCAUGAAGAUUCACGGGGCUGAUGAGAGGCCAAACGACAUGGCCUUGUACUGAAACUGGCACCCUGCAAACUCGAACCACAGAAACCUACUGUGCACUGGAUAUAUUGGAACGUGGAGGGGCUGAAAGGGAAUGGAUCAAGAUCUUACCAGUUGGGAGAACUGAACAUUUUUUUAUCUAUCUCUGGGGAGCCUUGGAGGAGUUCAGAGUAGAAAUCAAUAUAUUUUAUCUUGCAGGCAAAUUAUUUCCCCAACUAUCUCAUUCUAGUCUCAAAAGAAAAAAAAUAAACCUGUGAAGCUACAUUUGCUAUGUUACUACUGAACUUUGUUAGAGAUGAUCUGGGACUGCAAAAUGAGGAUUACUUGUGAACUUACUCACCCUGUGCCAGAGCACGGAAGAAGGAAACUGAAAACUAUUAACUACGAAAGCCAAAGCCCCAAACAAAAAUUGUUAUGAAUUCAAUGCAAAAUAUAAAAGUAUGACCUGAAAUAUAUGAUCUACUUAUAAAAAUUAGUCAGAUUUAUUUGGUCAAAAUAAUCUCAUUACAACUGAUUUCUCAGCAGAAGAACCAUCCUGAAAAUUUAGGAAGCUAUGACAUUCCUAACUGUUUAGAGAAAUGCUACCCUAGGAGAACAAUUUAUCAGUUCCUUGAAACAAGACUCUAGCAUAGCGAUUUCCUUGCUAGACAUAACCCUGUAUUGAGUUACAAGCCAUUUGUAGGCAC